GUUUCCAGACUCCGCUCCUGUAUAGUUGUUAAGGGAGAACUUUCUAGUCUUGACCUGUACUAAUUUUUAAUAUAAUUUAUUUGAAGGAGAUUUGCAUGCAAACCUUGCUGCUUCUUCUUUUUUUUUUUUUCUUUUUUUUUUUUUUCCUGAGUUGCAGUAAUUUUUGAAAGAACAGUUUGGCAUACUAUUGAAUACCAUUUAGAAGACUAUUCAUUGGAAUUCAAAGCAUAUCUGAAUUUUGGAAGUCUCCUCACUAGUCCAACAGAUGUGGUAAGCUCACCUCAGGGGAUGAGGGACAUGACUUCAGUUUGCAGUAGAAGAGGAUGAAGAGCUGUACCCAGCUGGUACU
rnacentral:lncRNA from 1 species